AGCUCCAAUAGCGUAUAUUAAAGUUGUUGCAGUUAAAAAGCUCGUAGUUGAACCUCGGGCCUAGCUGGCCGGUCCGCCUCACCGCGAGUACUGGACUGGCUGGGCCUUCCCUCCUGGGGAACCCCAUGGCCUUCACUGGCUGUGGCGGGGAACCAGGACUUUUACUGUGAAAAAAUUAGAGUGUUCAAAGCAGGCCUUUGCUCGAAUACAUUAGCAUGGAAUAAUAGAAUAGGACGUGCGGUCCUAUUUUGUUGGUUUUCAGACCGCCGUAAUGAUUAAUAGGGAUAGUCGGGGGCGUCAGUAUUCAGCUGUCAGAGGUGAAAUUCUUGGAUUUGCUGAAGACUAACUACUGCGAAAGCAUUCGCCAAGGAUGUUUUCAUUAAUCAGGAACGAAAGUUAGGGGAUCGAAGACGAUCAGAUACCGUCGUAGUCUUAACCAUAAACUAUGCCGACUAGGGAUCGGGCGGUGUUUCUAUGAUGACCCGCUCGGCACCUUACGAGAACUCAAAGUUUUUGGGUUCUGGGGGGAGUAUGG
rnacentral:rRNA from 1 species